CUUUCGGGCCUAGUGGCGCACGGGUGAGUAACGCGUAACUGACCUACCCCAAGUUCGGAAUAACUGGUUGAAAAAUCAGCUAAUACCGGAUGUGAUCCGCCAUCGUGUUGGCGGUAUUAAAGAACUUCGCUUGGGGAUGGGGUUGCGUUCCAUCAGCUGGUUGGUGGGGUAAAGGCCUACCAAGGCGACGACGGAUCGCCGGCCUGAGAGGGUGGCCGGCCACAGGGGCACUGAGACACGGGUCCC
rnacentral:rRNA from 1 species